rnacentral:rRNA from 1 species
AGCGAACGCUGGCGGCAGGCCUAACACAUGCAAGUCGAGCGCCCCGCAAGGGGAGCGGCAGACGGGAGAGUAACACGUGGGAACGUACCCUUUGGUUCGGAACAACCCAGGGAAACUUGGGCUAAUACCGGAUAAGCCCUUACGGGGAAAGAUUCAUCGGCGAAGGAUCGGCCCGCGUCUGAUUAGCUAGCUGGUGGGGUAACGGCCCACCAAGGCGACGAUCAGUAGCUGGUCUGAGAGGAUGAUCAGCCUCACUGGGACUGAGACACGGCCCAGACUCCUACGGGAGGCAGCAGUGGGGAAUAUUGGACAAUGGGCGCAAGCCUGAUCCAGCCAUGCCGCGUGGGUGAUGAAGGCCCUAGGGUUGUAAAGCCCUUUCGGCGGGGAAGAUAAUGACGGUACCCGCAGAAGAAGCCCCGGCUAACUUCGUGCCAGCCGCCGCUGUAACAC